CUCCUUUUUGUUGCUCUUCCUUAUGAACAUAUGCUUCCUUAGCAUGAAGCCACAACAUCUGUGUCUCUGAGAUUAUACGCCCUUUAAUGUUUUCUUUUUCUCACUCGAAUUAUGAUUUAAUUGUACUAAAUAGGUUGAAGGUGUUCCUGCUCUGAUUCACCAGACUGAAGUAUCAUAGAAUGCCACCUUGGAUCCUUAGUCAUAUUUCAAAACCGGUCAGGUUGUCGAGGCCAAAGUUCAUCAAUUAGAUUUCACACUGGACCGUAUAUUUUUAUCGUUGAAGGAGAUAACGCCAGAACCACUGAUUGAGGCCUUGGAGACUGUGGUUGGUGGUCAUGAUAACUUAGAUGGAAGACUACAAGCAGCAGAAGCAGACUAUGUUUGUACUUAUCCUUUUUGUACUAGCAUUAGGUAUUACUUAUUAGCAGGGCUAACACUUGCACACUGAUAUUAAACGUCAACAGUGGCCCAAUGUUGAAUCACUUAUCAAAGAGUUGGAACAGAUUGAGGGGGUUCAGUCAGUUUCGAAGGGCCGGUUUUUCUUGAGCCCCGGUUUAGCUAACAUUCCAGGUAUGAUAGCUUCGACAUAUCAACUACACACAGUAGGCCAAUGUGGGUGAAUGUGAAAUAGAACAAUUCUCUUCAACAUAUUUUGCCUUUGGUUUGAGAAUUCUUGCUAAUUUGUGGAUUAUGGGUCUUGAUAGACAUUUGUUUGUAUACAUGUUAGUUUUAUC